rnacentral:rRNA from 1 species
AGCGAACGCUGGCGGCAGGCCUAACACAUGCAAGUCGAACGAAGUCUUCGGACUUAGUGGCGGACGGGUGAGUAACACGUGGGAACGUGCCUUUAGGUUCGGCAUCACUCAGGGAAACUUGUGCUAAUACCGAAUGUGCCCUUCGGGGGAAAGAUUUAUCGCCUUUAGAGCGGCCCGCGUCUGAUUAGCUAGUUGGUGAGGUAAAGGCUCACCAAGGCUACGAUCAGUAGCUGGUCUGAGAGGAUGACCAGCCACAUUGGGACUGAGACACGGCCCAAACUCCUACGGGAAGCAGCAGUGGGGAAUCUUGCGCAAUGGGCGAAAGCCUGACGCAGCCAUGCCGCGUGGAUGAUGAAGGUCUUAGGAUUGUAAAAUCCUUUCACCGGUGAAGAUAAUGACUGUAGCCGGAGAAGAAGCCCCGGCUAACUUCGUGCCAGCCGCCGCAGUAACAC